rnacentral:rRNA from 1 species
UACGAAGGGGGCUAGCGUUGCUCGGAAUUACUGGGCGUAAAGCGCACGUAGGCGGUCUUUUAAGUCGGGGGUGAAAUCCUGGAGCUCAACUCCAGAACUGCCUUCGAUACUGGAAGACUUGAGUCCGGGAGAGGUGAGUGGAACUGCGAGUGUAGAGGUGAAAUUCGUAGAUAUUCGCAAGAACACCAGUGGCGAAGGCGGCUCACUGGCCCGGUACUGACGCUGAUGCACGAAAGCGUGGGGAGCAAACAGG